rnacentral:lncRNA from 1 species
UCAGAUCAAGGUUCAACUCCGGGAAACUUUUAGUCUGCAGCCUUUUCAACUCCGGUGAGAAUUCCAAGCUGCCUGCACUGCUCGUUCCCGUACCUGUACUACCUGCCCCUGUGAUCAUCAUCAUCAUCAUAACCUUCUUCUCAUCAAUUAUCUCCUCCUUUGCAGUCGUCGUCUUUGAGAACGAAAUGGUGACAUCUGAAGACAAAGACGACGAAGAGUGGGGAUUAUUAUCAUGAACAUUCCGAUGCGUUAAUGGGUCCACUCCUCUGCUCAAAAGUUUUCUUCUUAUGUGAGUAUUCCAGUAGUUCUUGAUCUCAUUGUCUGUUCUCCCCGGUAAUCUUCCGGCAAUCAACGACCAUCUACACAUAUACACGUAAUUAAAUUAAUACAUAAAUUAUCAGUGGAUAAUUAAUUAUUACUAGCUUACUUGUUGCCAAGGAGGCUGUGGAGUUUGAUGAUGAGCUCGUCUUCUUCCUCUGUGAAAUUUCCACGCUUGAGAUCGGGACGGAGGUAGUUUAUCCAUCGGAGACGACAACUCUUACCGCAACGAAGAAGACCUGCUGCUUUGGGGAGUGACCUCCAACAGCCCUCUCCGUGUAGACGGAUAUGGGAUAUUAACCGGUCAUCCUCCUCUUUAGUCCAUGCUCCUUUGUUUGUGUGAUCUUUUUCACAACAAGGUGAUCUUCCCAUGCUAAAUUUGAUCUUUCUUCAAUUCCGGCAAGUUCCGGCAAAUCCUUGUGUUUUUUUAUAUAAAUUAGAUCAAUGACCGUGGCCGGACUCUCUCUCUAGUCUCUAUUUAUAGGAGUUGAGUUAAGUUUGACCACAAAAAGGUAAAAAGAAGAGGGGGGAGGAAUCAAGAAGGGUGAGUCAGAGUGAGUGUGAGUAUAUGAGUAAGCAUAUGAUAUUAUUAUAUACAUAUCAUGAUGAUGAAUGGAGUUCUAGAACCAAGUUGGUGGGUUUGUAAAAAAAAAAAAAAAAAUUCUACAAGAAAAUGAUACCAGUUAAGUUGCAGAGGAAAUUUAAUAAAAAUAGGAAACUCAAAUUCUGAACUCUAGAAAAACCUUCCAAGAAAAGUGUUUGUAAUGCAAUAUCCUCAUCUUUUCCAAUUUACCUGGUGUCAGGAUGGAUGAAAAAAACCAAAACCUACCAAACAAAUUCAGAAGCAAAGAAGGAAUUCUAAAACAGUGAUUUGGUAGGCCUAAAGAGGUUGGAGUGGAGUGGAAUGGCUAGUUUGGUCAUAGAUACCAAACUGAUCAUACCGCAUACCAACACUUCAUUUUGUUAGGUUAGAGAGAAGAACAAGGAAGGUUGGUAGGUAGGUAUGUAAGUAGACAAGUGGAUGGGUCCCAUUAGACAUUUGUUGUACAUCACCCAACUUAGCCUCUCUCUUUUUUAAAAAAUAAUAAUAAUAUAUAUUUCACACCUUCCCCAAACCUAAACUUAAAUGCAGUGUUAAUGUUUAAGUCCCCUAAUUUAGAUGAUCUGCACUCCACAAUUUCAUAAUUCCACAUGCAUCUUGUAACAUGUGGGCAGUGGCAAUGAAAUUUAGAUGCUUGUGAAAGUUGGGGAUGAUGUUGGUAGAGAGAAAGAGAGUAUACAAGUUUCCAAAUUCCAAUCACUGCUAAAUGCUCUACUUACUACCUUCUUUGUACCUUUACCUCUUUUUUAAAUACAUGCCACAUUGUCACAGAUCACACCCUUGUUGUGGGGUGCAUGUUUUUGAUAGAAACCACCUUCCUAUUCCCAACCUCUCCAUCAUUGAUUGUUUUUCACUUGUUCAGCCAUUCUGUUUAAAUCCAAGCCCUGUUUAAAAUUUAAAUAUUCUUGUAAACUGCAAAGUAACCACACACAUACUGACACACAUGGUUGCCAUUAAACUUGUGACUUUCUAAAUCAGGAUUUAACCAACCAAGAAUACUAUAUAAUUAUAUAAUAUAUAUUUUAGUUAUUGCCAUUAAGUAUCAGUAGAUUCAAUAGAGUGUGGUCCUUGUCAUACAACUACCAAACUUCAAUCGUGUAUGCAGUGUAUCCAACCAGGUAGCUGUCGUAUCAUUAACUGAGAUGCAGAUUAAUAACAAAAAAUGCUAUUUAUUGUUUGCUGUUUGCCAAUCACAGAUUCACCUAAUGGACUAAAUACCAAAAAUGAACAACAAUAAUGCAACUCUAUGUAUUAAACAUAAUUAACUUAUUCUGUUUUUUUUUACAAAGAACAACUAAGUAGUAAUUGUCUAAUUGACUACCUAUUAGAUUCUAGAGUAGAAGAUGGUAACAACUAAGAAUAACAAGUAUAUUUUUUUCUUCAGUCAGCUAACUAGUUUGCAUAUAAAAUUAUCAAAAGAGAAAAAUAUCAUGAAAGAAUGAAACAGGAACAUAGUUGGUGAUAAUGAUGGUGGGUUGAUACUGAUCUUAACUUUAAAUUUAUGGUGGGUUGAUACUGAUCUUAACUUUAAAUUUAUGGUGGGUUGAUACUGAUCUUACAAAGUUGGUGAUAAUGAUGCAAGCAAUGUAUGACUGUAUGAGUAGACUGCCUAUUUACACAAUAAAUGAUGCAUUAUAUGUCAAAUUCACUCAGAUACAUAACAUAUGUAUGGAGAAGGUUUACAACUUCUUACCAAUCUUCUAUAUCAUCAUCUUCAUCGACGUCUUCUACUCUUGUUAAAAGCUUGACAUCGGAUAAGUUUUCUGCUUUAAAUCCAUGUAUAUUUGAUAUUUUUUCCGUCAAAUUAGCAUUUUCCAAGUAUUUAGAACCAAGCCACUUGAUUGCAGGUAUAAAUUCCAUAGCCAGAUCGGUGAUGCUACAAAUUGAUACAAAGCUGGUGGUGGGGGAAUCAUAUCUCUCCAUUGCCAUCUUAUUCUGCAAAUAAAUCACAAAAACAGAUGAAGUGCAAUUUUUUUUUUCCUUUCGCUGUUUAUAUUUUUAGGUUUUCUUCUUCUUUUGUGUGGAUAAACAAUUAGCCAGUGACUGUAUUUUCUCAUUUUGGCCAAUAUUAUUUCGGAUUGGACAUUAAGAAAAUCCCUAUUUUAUAUACGGAGAUAUUUGUUUCCAUGAUUUUAUAUAUAAAGCCAAUUUCUUACCAAGAGAUGGUGACGGCUUAACAAUACUAAAUUAAUAUGAUCACAAAAUUAAGCAGAAUAAAGAUUUAAAUAUAGCAAUAAGCUGG